rnacentral:lncRNA from 1 species
AAACAAUGCACACUUAUUCAAAUUAAUAGGAUAUUGAUUACAAGUUAAGAGCCUGAUAUUAACUACUAACCUAAAACUAUUAGUACAUACAUUGACAUAGUGAACUCAAAGAGACGAAAGAGUUGACACCCAUAACAAACUUGCUAAUAUUAACUACUGCAUUACAAAAAAAUUUUGAGACACAUGUUUAGCUUAAAAUUAGACUUGAUGUGGCCAUCACACACGUGCGACUCCAAACUGUUUCUGAUUUUUAAUUUUUUAACAGAAAAAUGCUAAACUAAAAUGAGUGUUAACUAUAUUAAGGCUAAUGCUAGAUAACCACAAGUUAAAACAGUCCAGUACGGAUCCAAACAGUCUAAAUCAGUAGAAAUAAUCGUAAUUAAAUAGUUCCUAGUUCAGUAUAAUCAAACAAAUUGAAACCAAACAAUUAUACAUUAUUGGACAGACUAUAGCUACAGACAUUCACAUGAGCAUAGAUCUGAAAUACUACUUCAUUCAUUCCAAUUUGAGGUUACAUCAGUGUGAAUUCAAAGCGUGUACCUAGAUUUGAAUGAACAGAAGAAUAAGAAGAAGUCAUAAGCAAGUAAUAACAAACGGUACCCAGCAGUCACAAGCAACAACAAUUGGCAGAAAUCAAAAAUAGCCCAGAGCUAAUUCAAUCCCAGGAAGAGUUUGAAACCAAGUAAAAACCACGCAACAACCACAAACUACUUAACACACUCAAAUGCAAUCAAAAUUUGACCCCGGAACUACAUGACUUCUUCAGCAAUCAAAAACAACCAACAACCACUCAAAUAAACCCCAAAAGAUUCUAUAUGCUCUCGAAUACAGAAUAGAAACCAAAGAAGCUCGAGUUGCUUCUGAUCCUAAAUGAGCUAGAAACUGGAAUUAACUGCUAGAAUCUGACAAUGACACUAAUGUAACAGUAUUUUUUUUUUAUUUUUUGUAACUUUCUAUGUAUUUUUUUGAGAUUUUCUACUGGAUUCUGUUUGUUUGUUGGAUUUGUUUUGCAGAAGCUAAGAUGUAGAAGAAGAUUUCAACUAUAAGAAUUCAGAUUUCUCUUUCUUUUUGGUUUGAAAUUCAAAUUUAAAGGCUCAGAUCUGUAAAAGAGUUUUUUUUUUGGGGGGGGGGGGGGUUUUUUGGGCUUAAACUUGUCAAUUCAGGUUUUUUAUUUUUUGUAACUUUCUAUGUAUUUUUUUGAGAUUUUCUACUGGAUUCUGUUUGUUUGUUGGAUUUGUUUUGCAGAAGCUAAGAUGUAGAAGAAGAUUUCAACUAUAAGAAUUCAGAUUUCUCUUUCUUUUUGGUUUGAAAUUCAAAUUUAAAGGCUCAGAUCUGUAAAAGAGUUUUUUUUUUGGGGGGGGGGGGGAUUUUUGGGCUUAAACUUGUCAAUUCAGGCAGAAUGUAUGCCUUUUAUAGGCAAAGUUUAAGGGAAACUUCAAAUUUUUAAUUUUCCAUCUUUGGUCCAUUUUGAAUUCUCAUUAUUGCUUAAGUAUCCCUGGAUUUAUGACUUGUUCUCUAAGUUCCACUACCCAAAAGGCUGAAAUUCAAAUUCCACCCCACCCUAGAAGCUUCUUAGUUUGUUAUGAGAGAUUCCCUAAUCCUCAAUUGCCUAAGCUAACCUUCCAGACCUUGGUAUUUACUUGUUAAAGCCAAUUGGGCAAGCUGACCUAAAUAAUGUGUCUACAGAAACCAAAAUGCAUCCCAAUUGGGCUUUGUUAUUCUUUACAAAUCUAAUGAACUACUUAAGGCCCUCCGGAAUAGAAUUUGACCCAUAUAUUCCCACAUAAAGAAAUCUAAAACUAUUUUCCAAAACAAGAGCAAAGUUCACUGAACCAAACAUUAUUGAAAUUUAAUUAAAUCAAAAAUCCAAUUACUGAUAAAACAUGGUAAAGAAACUGAACCAUGAACAGAAUGGGAUUGAAUACACAAACUAGAGAAGAAUGAACGAUAGUUACCCCUUUGGACAAAUUCUGGUUUGAAUCCUGCCUGACUUGCCAAGAAAAAGAAGUAAAGGAGAAUAUCAGAGGCAAGAAUAUUAAGACGAAUGGAUAGGAGAAGAACCUUCCUCGCAGCACUUGAAUUUGAACCUGGCUUAAUUUCGAUGCCAAAUAAUAUUGACCUCUAGUUCUUUGUCAAGAACAGGCGUACAACACUAUUUUGCGCAACAAUCGACUCUAUAACCUCGAGAAGGUCGGAGCAAUCGUACUGCAUGCUCAGGUUUGGUCUUGCAUCUUAUAGACUCUGAGUUUUUAUUUAAGAUUCGAGAGAGUUGGGGAGUAUUUGGGAAAAGUGAUUCAUGGAUUCAACACAAAGGUACUCUGGUGGUUUUGUGGUAUCAUUUUGGUAGCGUGUGAUAGUCAUGGCUGAUCUAGGGUUAAGAGAUGUGAAGGUGAAGAGAGAUAUGAGAUGAAGAUGAUGACCCGUUCUCUAGUUUUCGGACAAAUAUAA